rnacentral:lncRNA from 1 species
GCGUGAGAAAUUGGACUCCCUUCUGAAUCACUGUUGACAGUCGUUGGCUCGUUGCUCAUUGUUUGUUGCUGUAGCUUCGAUUUCACUCCUCCCUCUUUACUCUCUCUCUCUCUCUCUCUCUCUCUCUCUCUCUCUCUCUCUCUCACACACACACACACACACACACACACACACCUCCCNCACACACACACACACAGACGCACUGCUCCCACCAAAUUCGCCGAUCCCGUUUUUCUCUCUCUCCAGAAUCCUCGAGUGAACCUCCAUGAAUUUCGUAGGCAUUUCAAAUCUCCGGUUCAUCACCGUCACAACGCUAUAUUUGUUCCUAGCAUUAGUAUUAUUGGCGAUUGAC